AGUGAACGCUGGCGGCGUGCCUAACACAUGCAAGUCGUGCGCGAAAGGGAGCAAUCCUGAGUAAAGCGGCGAACGGUGAGUAACACGUGGUUAACCUGCCUGGAUGUGGGGAUACCCCGGGGAAACUCGGGACAAUACCGCAUGAUGUCUCUCGGGCGUCGGCCCGGGAGAGCAAAGCCGGGGACCGCAAGGCCUGGCGCAUCCGGAGGGGACCGCGGCCGAUUAGCUAGUUGGCGGGGUAAUGGCCCACCAAGGCGACGAUCGGUAGCCGGCCUGAGAGGGUGAUCAGCCACACCGGAACUGAGACACGGUCCGGACUCCUACGGAGGCAGCAGUGGGGAAUUUUGCGCAAUGGGCGUAAGCCUGACGCAGCAACGCCGCGUGGAGGAUGAAGGU
rnacentral:rRNA from 1 species